rnacentral:tRNA from 1 species
AAAUAAGUAAGCUAAUUUUUAAGCUUUUAGGCUCAUACCCUAACUAUAGAUAUAUUUAAUGUCUCUUAUUUA